CUCAAAGAUUAAGCCAUGCAUGUCUAAGUACAAGCGAAAAUAAAGUGAAACCGCAAAAGGCUCAUUAUAUCAGUUAUGGUUCCUUAGAUCGUAUCCACAAUUACUUGGAUAACUGUGGUAAUUCUAGAGCUAAUACAUGCAUUUAAAGAGAAACCAUUUCGUAUGGGAUCUCUGCUUUUAUUAGAUUUAAACCAAUGGGGAAUGUUUCGGCAUUCUCACAGAAAAUGGUUGAACUCUGGAUAAUUUGUUGAUCGCAUGGUCUCGUACCGGCGACGGAUCUUUCAAAUGUCUGCCCUAUCAACUAUUGAAGGUAGUGUCUUGGACUACCUUGGUUGCAACGGGUAACGGGGAAUCAGGGUUCGAUUCCGGAGAGGGAGCCUGAGAAACGGCUACCACAUCUAAGGAAGGCAGCAGGCGCGUAAAUUACCCACUCCCAGCACGGGGAGGUAGUGACGAAAAAUAACAAUACAAGACUCACAUCCGAGGCCUUGUAAUUGGAAUGAGUACACUUUAAAUCCUUUAACAAGGACCAAUUGGAGGGCAAGUCUGGUGCCAGCAGCCGCGGUAAUUCCAGCUCCAAUAGCGUAUAUUAAAGUUGUUGCGGUUAAAACGUUCGUAGUUGAACUUGUGUUUCGCACGGGCAGUGCCUAGGACUAGGCAACUAGGACGGUACUUUGUCUUAUCUUUCCUAUUCUUCAUCGGAUUUGGAAAAAGUGCGUGAACGUAUUAUCGGCGUGCUCGCGUUCUACGAGCAUAAGCCCAUCUCAGUGCUCUUAAGUGAGUGUUGUUGUGGGCCGAUACAAAUUACUUUGAACAAAUUAGAGUGCUUAAAGCAGGCUUUUAAUGCCUGAAUAUUUUGUGCAUGGAAUAAUGGAAUAGGACAUCUGUUCUACUUUCAUUGGUUUAUUAGACCAAGAUGUAAUGAUUAAUGGAAGCAGUUGGGGGCAUUAGUAUUACAACGCGAGAGGUGAAAUUCUUAGACCGUUGUAAGACUGACUAAAGCGAAAGCAUUUGCCAAAGAUGUUUUCAUUUAAUCAAGAACGAAAGUUAGAGGUUCGAAGGCGAUC
rnacentral:rRNA from 1 species